rnacentral:rRNA from 1 species
CCUCGGGGCCCAACCUCCCACCCGUGUAUACCGUACCUUGUUGCUUCGGCGGGCCCGCCGCGCAAGCGGCCGCCGGGGGGGCGUCAAACCCCCCUCCCUAGGCGAGCGCCCGCCGGAGACACCAACGUGAACACUGUCUGAAGUUUUGUUGUCUGAGUUCGAUUGUAUCGCAAUCAGUUAAAACUUUCAACAAUGGAUCUCUUGGUUCCGGCAUCGAUGAAGAACGCAGCGAAAUGCGAUAAUUAAUGUGAAUUGCAGAAUUCAGUGAAUCAUCGAGUCUUUGAACGCACAUUGCACCCCCUGGUAUUCCGGGGGGUAUGCCUGUCCGAGCGUCAUUGCUGCCCUCAAGCACGGCUUGUGUGUUGGGUCGUCGUCCCCCCCGGGGACGGGCCCGAAAGGCAGCGGCGGCACCGCGUCCGGUCCUCGAGCGUAUGGGGCUUUGUCACCCGCUCUUGUAGGCCCGGCCGGCGCUGGCCGACGCUGAAAAGCAACCAACUAUUUCUCCAGGUUGACCUCGGAUCAGGUAGGGAUACCCGCUGAACUUAAGCAUAUCAAAAGCCCGGAGGAA